GCGAGCUUUUGAAAGUGAACAAUCGAUCAGCUGAUUGUGGGAAAAAAAUUGGCGCCAAAUUACUUGUUUACAUUUUUACGUGGCGAUCGAGUAAAUUUGCUCAAAUAAAUUCGGCUAAAAAUGGAAAAUGAAGAUAAAGAAAAUUUAACUGCGUCCCCUGUGUUUCGUAGAAUAUAACAAAUGAACUGAGUUCUGCUGAGAAAAACUAACUAUGAAAGUUCGAGUUUUUGCAUAGCGAUCUCAUCGAUAUUUGGCGCAACAACAAUCG